rnacentral:rRNA from 1 species
CAGUAGCCGCGGUAAUACGAAGGGGGCUAGCGUUGUUCGGAAUUACUGGGCGUAAAGGGCGCGUAGGCGGCCAUUCAAGUUAGAUGUGAAGGCUCUGGGCUCAACCUAGGAAUUGCAUUUGAUACUGUUUGGCUUGAGUUCGGGAGAGGUGAGUGGAAUUCCCAGUGUAGAGGUGAAAUUCGUAGAUAUUGGGAAGAACACCGGUGGCGAAGGCGGCAACCUGGUCCUUGACUGACGCUGAGGCGCGAAAGCGUGGGGAGCAAACAGGAUUAGAUACCCCAGUAGUCCCUGUCUCUUAUAC